GUUCCUACUAAACAGUCUGCUUCUCGCCUCCCUCUCUGGCCUUUCAUCAUGGAGUGUUUUAUCUGACAACAAACUUGAUGUGAGCCAGUCCCCUGAUGUCGCCACCAUGGAGGGGGAAACUGUCCACAUCGACUGCUGCUGGAAUGUGUACACCAUAAGAGUGACAGUAAACUGGCUUAAAGAGAAAGAGCAUGUUUGGACUGAUAUUGUCCAUAACAACCAAAUUCAGGGAUCUAUACAGAACAAAGAGCGUAACUGUUCAACUUUGACCAUCUCAAAUAUUACAAGAAAUGAUUCCGGUAGAUACAUUUGCAAAAUGUCUGUGAAUAUACCAAAGUUACAGCAGGCCAAAGGAAAUGGCACAAUCAUCACAGUUACAACCAGAAACAAUAACAAGGCUGAUGAACCAACUGAGGUGAAUACUAGUAUGCCUGGACAAUUUACCAUCAUCUUCACUGCAGCUGUUCUGGUACUGCUGGUCCUGAUCAG